rnacentral:rRNA from 1 species
GUUGAACGCUGGCGGCAUGCCUUACACAUGCGAGUCGAACGGUAACGGGCCUUCGGGUGCCGACGAGUGGCGAACGGGUGAGUAAUACAUCGGAACGUGCCCGAUCGUGGGGGAUAACGAGGCGAAAGCUUUGCUAAUACCGCAUACGAUCUACGGAUGAAAGCAGGGGACCGCAAGGCCUUGCGCGGACGGAGCGGCCGAUGGCAGAUUAGGUAGUUGGUGGGAUAAAAGCUUACCAAGCCGACGAUCUGUAGCUGGUCUGAGAGGAUGAUCAGCCACACUGGGACUGAGACACGGCCCAGACUCCUACGGGAGGCAGCAGUGGGGAAUUUUGGACAAUGGGCGCAAGCCUGAUCCAGCCAUGCCGCGUGCAGGAUGAAGGCCUUCGGGUUGUAAACUGCUUUUGUACGGAACGAAAAGCCUUCUUUUAAUACAGGAGGGUCAUGACGGUACCGUAAGAAUAAGCACCGGCUAACUACGUG